AAAAUUCCUGCUUAAUGCUUUCUUGCUUUUAAGAAUUUGUAAAAUUCAAAGGAAAUAUUGUAUCGAAGAGAUGAAGUUUAUCACGGUUUGCAGCAUUUUCGUCGCAAUUAUUGUCUUUAUUACUACCGUUUCGGCCACUUCAAACCAGGAUGACUAUGACGGAGUCGUUCCGGCUGUUAAUCCUGAUCCGAAAUUUGUCGUCCAAUUUGUACCCAAGGAUAAAGAUAGAACUUCUCAUCCAAGAAUAACCCGACAAUUUCAGCAAUAUUGCUACAAGUGCAACCGAUGUACCAGAUAUUGUAAUCGUGGUGGUGGAUGCUGUUAAAAAAUAUUUUGUUCAAUUUUAUUCCUAUUCAUGUAAUUCCCACUAAUUUUUUUGCUAACCAAUCAAACAAAGAUUACAUAAAUUUGCAAACAUAUUUAUUUUCGGUACUGAUUUGAUAACCAAAAUUAUUAAUCGCCAACUCUCCCAAUUAUCUAUAACGAUAUUUUGUUAAUUGAAUAUACUUUGCCCGGAUUAUUGCCAUAUUCUACUCUACACCCCUCCGGCAAACUUUCUCCCAUUUACGUAACUUAUUUAUUUACUUUGCGUAAUAAUAAUUUGUCUAUCAGCCACAAAACGGGAGGAGGUUUUGUAGGUUUUUGGGGUCGGGUGUUGGUGUGUUAUGUGAGGAUUUGGUCGUUCUUUUGAGCAAAUUUCUAUUACACUUGCCACAAGGGAGACAGAAAGAGAGAGAGAAAGCAGGAGGCUUUUUAAUCUGUGAAUAGUAGAUGCAUUAUUCAUCAUUAGUGUACAAUUAGGGAUAACUAACUCCCAUCAUGGCAAAAAGGGAAGAACAACAUCAUCCCGAGCAUCGAGAAACUGCAUGCGUGCGGUUCUUCUUCUUCUCUCUUUGAGAUCUAUGUAAAUAUGUAAUAAUCAUGACGGGUUUGCAUUUAGUCGUCUUAGGUAAGUAUGAAAUGAAGGAAAUCCUACCGGAUUUAGAACUCGGCUUAAGUCAGGGUUCGUAAAACAGGGGAGCAUUUUAAGAAAUUUCAUUUAAAAUAUAGGGUGCGUUUGUGUUUUAAGAUAAUAAUAUAUUUUGCUAAUAAAAAUCUACGUACAAAUGUAAAAUUCUGGAGGAUUUUGUAGAAAUAAUGUUUUCGACUUGUCACCUGUACGAUUUUAAAAUUAUGAUGGAAAUCCUAAGUUUGGUAAAGGCGCACAAAAAA